rnacentral:rRNA from 1 species
UUGAACGCUGGCGGCAGGCCUCACACAUGCCAGUCGAACGGUAACAGGAAGAAGCUUGCUUCUUUGCUGACGAGUGGCGAACGGGUGAGUAAUGUCUGGGAAACUGCCUGAUGGAGGGGGAUAACUACUGGAAACGGUAGCUAAUACCGCAUAACGUCGCAAGACCAAAGAGGGGGACCUUCGGGCCUCUUGCCAUCGGAUGUGCCCAGAUGGGAUUAGCUAGUAGGUGGGGUAACGGCUCACCUAGGCGACGAUCCCUAGCUGGUCUGAGAGGAUGACCAGCCACACUGGAACUGAGACACGGUCCAGACUCCUACGGGAGGCAGCAGUGGGGAAUAUUGCACAAUGGGCGCAAGCCUGAUGCAGCCAUGCCGCGUGUAUGAAGAAGGCCUUCGGGUUGUAAAGUACUUUCAGCGGGGAGGAAGGGAGUAAAGUUAAUACCUUUGCUCAUUGACGUUACCCGCAGAAGAAGCACCGGCUAACUCCGUG